rnacentral:rRNA from 1 species
GACGAACGCUGGCGGCGUGCUUAACACAUGCAAGUCGAACGGAAAGGCCCUGCUUUCGUGGGGUGCUCGAGUGGCGAACGGGUGCGUAACACGUGAGUAACCUGCCCUUGACUUUGGGAUAACUUCAGGAAACUGGGGCUAAUACCGGAUAGGAGAUCCUGUUGCAUGGUGGGGGGUGGAUAGUUUCGGCGGUUGGGGAUGGACGGGCGGGUUAUCAGCUUGUUGGUUGGGUAGUGGCUUACCCAGGCUUGGACGGGUACCCGGCCCGAGAGGGUGGCCGGCCACAAGAGGACUGAGAGAGGGCCCAGAGUCGUACAUGAGGCAGCAGUGGGGAGUAUUGCACAAUGGUCCGGAGCCGGAUGCGGCAGCGCCGCGGUUGGGAAGACGGCCUUCGGGGUAUAAACCGCUUCCGCCUGUGACGAAGCGGUAGUGACGGUAAUGGGUAAAGAAGCACCGGCUAACUACGUG